GUUGCUUCCUUAAUAAUGAAGUGGCUCUUUAAUAUGUCAGUCACUUUUAAUGAGAAGCAUAUAUUAAAUUUAAUCUAUAAAAUGCCAGUUUCAAACAGCAUGAUUUGCUUCUUCUUUUUAAGAAUUGUGCUACCUGUCUCCUGGUAUAUUU
rfam:Ricinus communis cultivar Hale ctg_1100012286365, whole genome shotgun sequence.